UAGGAGAGAAGAUAAGAAAAGGCUCUAAAAUAAACCCUUAUAGAAACCAAAAAACAAAGAAACAAAGUCCUCACUCACCGGAGCCUCCUAAGCCGGCCGACCCAAAACCGUAGAGGCUCGCAGUUCCCACAAGGCAAGGCACAGGGCGCGGUCCUAAAAGUCAAUAGUACAGUAGUAAGGGACACGACUUCUUAGCUGGGUAACUAGUUACCUUUCAAUGACUCAACUUCCUACUUGAAGCUUUCUCCUCCGAGGGACAUUUUCCAGACUUUCUUCUUGAACACUCCGCAGAGAAACUUAGAUAAGUCUCACUUCUCCGUAGACUGCUUAGACGACUUCUGCAGCCUCGGUUACUUCCGCGUGGGUAACCAUUUCUACGCUUUCUACACCCCCGCUUACCUGGCAGACUAGUUCGUGGACUUCUUGUAUGACGAUCAGUCUUUUGACGUCAAAGACGAUGUCUUCAACCAGUCCUUUGAUCCCAAGUACGUUGAGUCCUUUGACGUCAAGGAGAGGGUCUUCAAUGAGUCCUUUAAUACCGAAGCAGACACCUUGUCAGGGGGCCCCUAUUACAUCACCGUUUGGUACUUAGGGAGAGUUUUCUUCGGGGUUGUCUUUUUCCUCUAGUCGGUCUUCGUCAACGACCUCUUUUAAGAUGUCAUGUUCGUCCCGUGGUCGUGAGACUUUCGUUAUUCUACGUGUAACUCCUCUGUGGUCUCCAACAGUGGUUACCUUGUUGACAACAGCGACUACACUGGUCACGACUAGAGUUCAGCCUGAACUAGAGAAGACUUCGGUUCAGUCUAUGACGACUUCGAUCGUUUUGACUAUUUGUACUGUGUAAUGGUUUUGGACACCUACGGGUUUAUGGUCUACGACUAGGAUACCUUUGACUACAACGUCGACGUAGUUACUUGUUACUACCCCUCUCCAAACAAGGACUCUUACUAAACCCGCUGUUAUGUACCUAGCUAUUACUUCACACGUCAAGAUUGGAGUACUUACUCCUAGUGUUCGGGUAACAUAGUUUUAGUUUAUUAGUCCAUGGACUCCAAACGGGUCUAGAUCCCAGAGGUUAAUUCACACUCAGUUAAAGAUCACUACUAUAUAGUUUAUGGUUUUUCUUAUAUUUCCUAUUGAACUUACGAUUAUUAAAACUAAAUCUUGAUCUCCAAUUCGGUCUAUACCAGUUUGGUAGUAGGCCGUAAUGAAGGAAUCCACCUCUUAACGUCGGUAACCUACUACUGUUUCUCAACCAGUUCUUGGUCAAGAGAAACCUUCUGUGUCUAAGGUGACGGUUGCACCUACUUCAACCGAGAGGUCUCUUUGAUUUAAAUCUGUCCUCAAGUCCACUACUCAGUUACCUCCUACUACAAUACCUCUAAUUCGUUGAACUAAAGUCACAAUUUAUACUACUAGAGUCUCCUUUCUGACUCGGAUUGAGUCUUAUGCACUUUCUCCACAGAGAAGGACUAAGACAACAGUUCUCGAGGAGACGACUAUGUUUCCUUCAAUAUCGACUUCUUUUAGGUAGUCGAAGUUGACUUUUCUCUUUUAAAGUUCGAGUUCUUUGACAACGUUUGUGACUCGGUUAGUUUGCAGUCGCAGCUACCCGACGUCUAUCACCGUUACAAGGUCUUUCUGUUGGUAACUCAGUUUCACCAAGACUACGAGCAUUCCUAUAAGAGGUCGGACGGAAUUUUGCAAGAGAACCGUCCAGACUAAGUUGUCGUUCACCUCUAAGAGGUUUCCUCUCCUAACACGGUGGUAGAGUCUUUAGACGUUGUUGAAGGAACUCUUAGCUGGCCAAACAUGCGGGUAAAUGGGACUCUCGACACGUUCUCGAAGAACCAUUUUGACCUAGACAAACAUCGAAGACCUACCUAGUAUAGUUCUGGGUGACGAUACAAUGUAAGAGGAGCCACCUCCUUCGAUGUCGAUGAGCACUACGACAGAUGUUGGACGUCACCGGGGGCUUGUUACCGUUAAUAGACAAUCGACUUAAACAACUAGGGGUCCUUCACUUUGAGUUCGAACUUGGGGGAGGGGGAGGGGGUCGUCGUUGUCGUCGCCGCCAAGGAUAAUCGGGUCGGUGAUGUGGUUCCCUCCGAGGAAAAGUCGUUCCAGUCCGUUUAGUUUCACACGGAGCGGUUCGACGACGAUGUGGUUCCCUCGUUAACGGCGGAGGUGGUGGGGAACACUUCGGAGGAUGUAGACUAGGUUCCCUCUUCGAGGGUGGGUGGGGUUUCUUCCGUCUUGGAGGACACCACUGUGAACUACUAGAGAAGUCUUUCUGUGUUAGGAGAGGUUCCUAAAUGAUAGACGGAAAUAGUCUACUCCUCCACAGUCGGUUCGAACGACGUGUCCCGUUUCGUUUCAUCAGUCACCGGAGCACGAAAACAAAGCGCCAUACAUCUUCGUCGUCGUACAUAAAAGACCUUUCUGACCAAAAUAGAGGAAAUUCUAACAUAUUACAACAGACGAAAAAAGAAUUUUUUCUAACAUACAGGAGACUGGGCUCAACAAAGCCUCAUGACUCUAUGACCAAAAUCAAUCUUGUAGGACCAUUGAAAUGACCAAAUCAUCACUUAUUUGUAAGUCCUCUUACGAAUAAGCACAAUGUAAACGCAAGACGGAGCUACACGAACCCACGACGACCGGGAGAAAUAUUCUUAGUUUCAAAGAGGGAACUCAAACUAACUUUUUU
rnacentral:rRNA from 1 species